rnacentral:ncRNA from 1 species
CUGUUGAGCUUGACUCUAGUCCGACUUUUUGAAAUGACUUGAGAGGUGUAGGAUAAGUGGGAGCUUCGGCGCAAGUGAAAUACCACUACUUUUAACGUUAUUUUACUUACUCCGUGAAUCGGAGGCGGGGUAACAACCCCUUCUUUUGGACCCAAGGCUUGCUUCGGCAGGCCGAUCCGGGCGGAGGACAUUGUCAGGUGGGGAGAUUGGCUGGGGCGGCACAUCUGUUAAAAGAUAAUGCAGGUGUCCUAAGAUGAGCUCAACGAGAACAUAAAUCUGGUGUGGAACAAAAGGGUAAAAGCUCGUUUGACAAGACAGCUCAGGAGAAAAGGAUCAUGCAACUCCAUGAACUUGAGGAGAUUAGGCUUGAGGCUUUUGAAAGCUCAAAG